AAUUCCAGCUCCAAUGGUGUAUAUUAGAGUUGUUGCAGUUAAAAAGCUCGUAGUUGGAUUUCUGUCGUGGUCAUCCGGCCUUGCCCGUAGGGUGUGCGCCUGGGUUGCCCGCGGCUUUCUUCCGGUAGCCUUCCGCGCUUCGCUGCGUGCGUUGGUGUUCCGGAACUUUUACUUUGAGAAAAAUAGACAGUUUCAAGCAGGCUUGUCGCCCUGAAUACUGCAGCAUGGAAUAAUAAGAUAGGACCUUGGUUCUAUUUUGUUGGUUUCUAGGACCGAGGUAAUGAUUAAUAGGGACAGUUGGGGGCAUUCGUAUUUAACUGUCAGAGGUGAAAUUCUUAGAUUUGUUAAAGACGAACUACUGCGAAAGCAUUUGCGAAGGAUGUUUUCAUUAAACAAGAACGACAGUAGGGGGUUUGAAGACGAUUAGAUACCGUCGUAAUCUCUACCAUAAACUAUUCGACUAGAGAUAGGGAAACGCCUACCUUGGCUUCUCCUG
rnacentral:rRNA from 1 species